rnacentral:sRNA from 1 species
UAGCGGCAGAAGUAGAAACAAAGUGGGGGGCGGAUGUUGUUAUCGUCCACCGACUAGGACUUUUACA